rnacentral:rRNA from 1 species
UACGGAGGGGGCAAGCGUUAUUCGGAAUUAUUGGGCGUAAAGGGCGCGUAGGCGGCUAGAUGUGUCAAAGGUGAAAUCCCUCGGCUCAACUGAGGAACUGCCUUUGAAACUGUCUGGCUUGAGGCCGGGAGAGGGUAGCGGAAUUCCCAGUGUAGCGGUGAAAUGCGUAGAUAUUGGGAGGAACACCGGUGGCGAAGGCGGCCACCUGGACGGUAACUGACGCUGAGACGCGAAAGCGUGGGGAGCAAACAGG